UACGGGGUGAGCAAGCGUUGUUCGGAUUUACUGGGCGUAAAGGGCGCGUAGGCGGUCUUGCCAAGUCACUUGUGAAAUCUCCGGGCUUAACUCGGAACGGUCAAGUGAUACUGUCGGACUAGAGUACAGAAGGGGCAACUGGAAUUCUCGGUGUAGCGGUGAAAUGCGUAGAUAUCGAGAGGAACACCGGCGGCGAAGGCGGGUUGCUGGGCUGAUACUGACGCUGAGGCGCGAAAGCCAGGGGAGCGAACGGG
rnacentral:rRNA from 1 species